AUUGAAAACAAGAUGAAUAACACUAAUAUGUGAAAAAGCAGAGGUAAUUAUCCUCCAAUGGUGCCCUUCAACUGCAUUUUCAUAACUUAGUCCCACAUGAGAGUACCCGAUAUUUUUCUUCUGAAUAUAAAACCAUAUAGCGCUACAUAUUCCAAUCAUACAACUUGUAGCUGGUUUUUCCACAAUCUCAUAAAACAAUGGCCUCCCCAUCUAGAUAAAGCCCUUGUUCACUUCCUCUCUUUAAAAACACAAGUUACUCAACAACGCAAUACCAGAUAGAGCUUUUCCACAACCACAAAAUCCACCAAAGCUCCAACAAAAGUGGGUUCUCCUCAGAGAUCAAAACUUUAUAAGACAACACAAACCCAUUUCAAAUCUAACAAAUUUGAAUAACCCCAAAUGAAAAUAACACCAGAAAACCUAAAUUUUACACAUCUAACCAAUCCAACAUGAAUAAAAAUCGGGGUUUUCUAUAUAAUCAAACACCAACCCUUUUCUCACACUUAAUUCCUCAUUAAGUAUAAGUAAAUUCUACACGCAAGUAAAGGUACUAAAAUUCUGAAAUUCCUAUUGCAAGAACAAUAAUAGAAAAGAAAGUUUAGAUUUUUUACACCAAAAAGUAAGAG